UAAGGUCACGGCGAGACGAGCCGUUUAUCAACACGAUAGGUGCUAAGUGGAGGUGCAGCAAUGCGUGCAGCUGAGGCAUCCUAACAGACCGAGAGGUUUGAAC
rnacentral:rRNA from 1 species